UAAAAAUUGAAUAAUAUCAUCCAUAUAAUUCUGAUAAUACGGUUCAGAAGUUUCUACGGGAGACCACAAAUUUCCUGCUAUGGGUGAAUCUGUUGCAUCU
rnacentral:ncRNA from 2 species